CUACAAAGAUGUGAUGCUAGAGACCUACUGGAACCUCACUGCUAUAGGCUAUAAUUUGGAAGACCUUCAUAUUGAAAGACAACCUCAAACUCCUAGAAGUCAUGAAAGGCAUAUAAGAAGUCACAGUGGGGAAAAACCAUAUGAAUGUAAUCAAUGUGGUAAAGCCUUGUCAUGUCACAGUAGUCUCCAAAGACAUAAAAGAACACAUAGUGGAGAGAAACCCUAUGAAUGUAA